rnacentral:rRNA from 1 species
AGAGUUUGAUCCUGGCUCAGGAUGAACGCUAGCGGCAGGCUUAACACAUGCAAGUCGAGGGGCAGCACAAAUGAGUAGCAAUACUUAUUGGUGGCGACCGGCGCACGGGUGCGUAACGCGUAUGCAACCUACCUGUAACAGGGGGAUAACACUGAGAAAUUGGUACUAAUACCCCAUAAUACUUUUGGAGGCAUCUUCAGGAGUUGAAAGUUCCGGCGGUUACGGAUGGGCAUGCGUUGUAUUAGCUAGUUGGUGUGGUAACGGCAUACCAAGGCAACGAUACAUAGGGGGACUGAGAGGUUAACCCCCCACAUUGGUACUGAGACACGGACCAAACUCCUACGGGAGGCAGCAGUGAGGAAUAUUGGUCAAUGGACGCAAGUCUGAACCAGCCAUGCCGCGUGCAGGAAGACGGCUCUAUGAGUUGUAAACUGCUUUUGUACGAGGGUAAACUCAGAUACGUGUAUCUGCCUGAAAGUAUCGUACGAAUAAGGAUCGGCUAACUCCGUGCCAGCAGCCGCGGUAAUACGGAGGAUCCAAGCGUUAUCCGGAUUUAUUGGGUUUAAAGGGUGCGUAGGCGGUUUUGUAAGUUAGAGGUGAAAAUUCGGUGCUUAACACCGGACCUGCCUCUAAUACUGUGAAGCUAGAGAGUAGUUGCGGUAGGCGGAAUGUGUAGUGUAGCGGUGAAAUGCUUAGAGAUUACACAGAACACCGAUUGCGAAAGCAGCUUACCAAGCUAUAUCUGACGUUGAGGCACGAAAGCGUGGGGAGCAAACAGGAUUAGAUACCCUGGUAGUCCACGCAGUAAACGAUGAUAACUCGCUGUCGGCGAUACACAGUCGGUGGCUAAGCGAAAGCGAUAAGUUAUCCACCUGGGGAGUACGUUCGCAAGAAUGAAACUCAAAGGAAUUGACGGGGGCCCGCACAAGCGGAGGAACAUGUG